UCCCUACGGGGCGCAGCAGUCGCGAAAACUUUGCAAUACACGAAAGUGUGACAGGGCUAUCCCGAGUGCCAUCCGCUGAGGAAGGCUUUUACCCAGUCUAGAACGCUGGGGGAAUAAGGAGAGGGCAAGUCUGGUGUCAGCCGCCGCGGUAAUACCAGCUCUCCGAGUGGUGUGGAUGUUUAUUGGGCCUAAAGCAUCCGUAGCUGGCUGAGUUAGUCCCUUGUUAAAUCCACCGAAUUAAUCGUUGGAUUGCGGGGGAUACUGCUCGACUAGGGAC
rnacentral:rRNA from 1 species